GAUGAACGCUAGCUACAGGCUUAACACAUGCAAGUCGAGGGGAAACGAUAUUGGAAGCUUGCUUCCGAUAGGCGUCGACCGGCGCACGGGUGAGUAACGCGUAGCCAACCUGCCCACCACUUGGGGAUAACCUUGCGAAAGUAAGACUAAUACCCACUGACGUCCAUAGAAGACAUCUGAAAUGGAUUAAAGAUUUAUCGGUGAUGGAUGGGGAUGCGUCUGAUUAGCUUGUUGGCGGGGUAACGGCCCACCAAGGCGACGAUCAGUAGGGGUUCUGAGAGGAAGGUCCCCCACAUUGGAACUGAGACACGGUUCAAACUCCUACGGGAGGCAGCAGUGAGGAAUAUUGGUCAAUGGGCGAGAGCCUGAACCAGCCAAGUAGCGUGCAGGAUGACGGCCCUAUGGGUUGUAAACUGCUUUUAUAAGGGAAUAAAGUGAGCCUCGUGAGGCUUUUUGCAUGUACCUUAUGAAUAAGGACCGGCUAAUUCCGUGCCAGCCGCCGCGGUAA
rnacentral:rRNA from 1 species